CUUCGGUUCAGCCGUACAUGUUCAAACCUGAGUCUGAUCCUGAAACACAGGCAGAACAACCAGAACCAGCUUCACUGGUUGUUAGACGAAUGGAACAGGUUCCUGACUUUCCUACCUGCAUGGUUCACCAUUUAGGCCUAGAGCCGAACUGUUUGAACUAAUACACCCAGCAGAACAUCCACAACAUAUAUCGAGGAGACUAUGGGCCUUUGAGGCGUCGAACAGAAGAAAAGCACUACAGGUACCCUGCCUAUCGUAGCUUUGUCAGCUGGUGCUGGUGCUACUUGUGAAGGAGUGUGAGAGUGGUCAUCACGUCGUGUGUUGUACUCCGGAUACGCCAGCAGUUUUCUGAUGCGGAGAGGCCACUUCCUCCUUUGACUUAGACGCUUGGAUGCCAGGUCCUCGAGGAUGUGGAUCGUCUUGAGCACCUCAACAAAUGGCGUCGGUUCUUCAAACACCUCCUCGAAGACAAGCUUCAACAGGUCUUAAGCAUAUUCUGUAAAAUAAUACAGACAAUCACCGCAGUAUUUAAGACAGUGGUCUCAGAAUCCACUGCAUUUUUACAUAUUUAUA